rnacentral:misc_RNA from 1 species
CAAGAAUCGAGGCUGACGGUGCCUACUCCCUAGGCUCCGUCCAGUCCCGCUCUCUACCUUGCCUUACUGCACCGUUUGUUGCUUCCUGGCGGCGUCCCGUCGCCAGGGCCUUUUGAAAGCCAAGUAUAAGCAUUGAAACUUCUGACAUACACUAAAUCGUA